UUUACAGAUGAUAAAACUGAGACUCAGAGGGGGUUACAUGUAGUAUCUGAGGAAGAAUUUGAACCCAGGUCUUCAGGACUCCAGCCUAGCUCUCUCUCUACCACCUCAUACUGCCUCUCAGUUAUUCUUCCUAAUGGGAAUCUGGUAGCGUUCCUAAAGGAUAGUCUGGAAAAGGCAUUUUUAUCCCUUGUCUUGGUGAGCCUUUGCUGUACCAAGCCAAGCAGACUCUGAGUUUUGCCUGAGAAUUGUCCGGCACAGACAAUAGAGGACUGGAUUUGGAGUCCGUGGGCCCGAGCCAAACCCCAGCGCCAAGCUCUGUGGGCCUCACUUUCCUUGUCCGUGAAAGCAGGAGCUUGGGCCCACUGGCCUCUAACAGAUCAGUGGCGGGAGAGGCCUGCCCGGCGGACUGACCGCCCGGAGUGGCUCCUGUGGUCAGUGAGCCCGGCAGACAACAGCCUCUAUCCAAAGACCCCUGUUUUCUCCACGGCUUUUCUGAAUGUACACACCAGCGCUGUCACGGUGCUUCCAGGCUGGCUAUGGGGCCAUCAUCAGUCCCAGGGCAGCGGUGACGAGGCCGAGGCAGGCGGAGGUCCAGGGCCUGCUUGGCUAGGAAGUGUCUGAGGCUGGACUUGAACCCGAGCCCAGAGCUCCCGAGGAAAAGCCAAGAGCAGAGAGAGGCUCCAUACACUUGUUUUAUUCCAUGCAUUCAUUUGCUCUGAUAGUCACUCUGGUGCCCUUUGCUGUACAGCAUUCAAUACAGAAAAUGAGCUUGGCAUCAGGAGCAGAAGAGGAGCAGACGUGAGACCCCAGAGGAGGCAGACAGGGAGGUAAUCAGGGGACCGGAAGGGAAAGAAAGGAGCAUAAUUAUUGCUGCAAGGGGUCACAAUGGGGUAACUAAAACGCUAGGAAAGGGCUUGGGAAUGUGGUCUGUCUGACCCCUGCCUGGGUUCCCCUGAAAUGAAUGCAUGCCUCCCCUGGGCCUCAUGGGGGAGAGGAUCCUGCUGGUUGUUCCCCAGCCCUGGGCUGCCCCAGGGGCCUAGGCUGACACUGGCUGAAGGGCCUGGUUCUUACCGUGAAGGUGGUGCCCCCACCCCUGGGGCUGCCUGGGACACGUGGCUGUUCCACAGAGAGUGUGAAUCUUUUCCUCCUGCUUCUGGAGGCUGCCUCUGAUGCUGUGCACACUGGAUUAUUCUUGGGAGACCUUUGCUGCCUACACGGGGUGUGGGGUGGGGGUGGGCUGUCAGGGCAGCGUCCAGCAAGAGCACACAGACAAGUAGAGUGGUCGGAGUGUGGGGUACCCGGCUGCAGUGCCUAGGGCUGCAUGUUUAACAGGCGCAACCAGCCAGCAGCCUUUGAGCUGGAAAGGCUGGAAUCGUACCCACGAUACAAAUUAUAAAAUGCCCCUCCCUGUGAUUAGUGGAGGGCCUAAUGAUUUUGUAACAUUUUCACGUUCACUUAAUUCAUAUCUUCCUCUCUCUUUUUUUUUUUUUUGAGGCAGUUGGGGUUAAGUGACUUGCCCCGAGGUCACACAGCUAGUAAGCAUCUGGGGUUGAAUUUGAACUCAGGUGCUUCUGACUCCGGGGUUGGUGCUCUGUCCAUUACAGUGCCACCCAGUUUUCCCAAUCCACGCCUUUCUCAUUAGAACGUGAGCUCCUGGAAGCCAAGGUUGGCUUUUGCUGUUUGUUGUCUCCCCAGUGCAUAGCAUGGCAUCUGGCACACAGCAGGUGCUUAGUAAACGCUGACUGCCUGACUGCAGAGCCCACGGAGAAGGAUGUGCAGAUGCGGAGCUGAUCCUGGGUGAUGACAGCCCAGCUCUCUGCAGGUGCCCCAGUUACACAUGUGGGCUCCAUCAGGACGGCUAGUCUGGCCCUGCUCAACCUUAGAUGGGCAAGGCCAGCUCAAGAGCUCGGGCUUUCCUCAGGAGAGCUCAGAAAAUUAAAGGAGACCAAGGACAGGACGGUGAAAACAGUCUAGGGAAUGGUAUUGCCCUGAACCCUGUUCUGCCCUGGGGCCCUCAGGACUUAGAGUAAAUUCGAGAUGUCUAAAGAGGCACCCAGUGACGGGCCCCUCCAGGGAGAUGACAUUGGAAAGGGGGUAGCUAGUGACCUGGAGGAUCGAAGCCAAAAGCCUAUCCCGUGGGUCAGUUUGGAAUUUAGCUGGGCCCUGGAAGAGAAGGGGAGCUGAGACGGGGAGGAUUGACCCUGAAAAGAAAAUUGCUUUAAAAAAAUUCAGUCUGAAAACGGGGAAAUUUAGUGCCUAUGUUGCUGGUGGCAAUUUGCUUCUUUUUGUCAUAGAGAAGGGUUCAACCUGGACCCACCCCUCUCAUGAUGUAAACAAACGUAUUAAAUGAAAUCGAGACCUUCGUUCUGAGCCGGUGCCUUCCGUCAGAGACAUUCUAGGAGUCUUUAAGAUGGGGGCUUGGCCGGGUCCUCUGCAGCCUUUCAUAGUUUUAGGGGUGCUACGGUCUCGGGCGCGGCUCUGACCCGGACUCUCUGGGUCCCCUGUGCUUUGCGGGGCAGUUCUCCCGGGCCUCCUGCUGCAGACCAGGGGCUGUAGGACGCGUCGGCCGUCGCUCGUCCGUUCACCCGAUCGGGCCGAUUAGCGCACACCCAGUGAAGGCCCGCUGUGCUGCGGUCUCCGGGCCGGGCCCCGCGGCCGAGGCGGCAGCAGCGGGUGAUUGUUGCUCUAGGCAUCUGCCCAGCCACACUCACAAGGACCAAUGAGGGACCGCGUCCACGUAGCGUUUCUUUUGUUCCUUUAUAAAAUCACACAGUUCACUGUCAGCAAUAAAUACGCAAUCAUUUGUGUUCCACUGUAAACCAAACCUUCUGAUCGACAGAAAAGUGAUCAUGACAACAAUGAUGAUAAAAUAAUAAAAUAAUAACAAUAAAAAUGCCUGAACUUAA